ensembl:lncRNA
CAGGCAUCACCGUGCAUUAUUCAGAGCCGCCACUAGGUGGCGGUGGAUACACACUUCUGAGGAGGUACGCACCUGCGAGACUAGGCAAUUGCGGUCUCUGAAGGUUCUGGGUCUUACUUUGGAAGAGGAGAACCCUGAGAAGACACUCACCUUAUGGAGAAGCUUCACUGCCAUCUCUAAUGCUCUCCAGAGCUCAGCCAAGGAUAACUCCAUCUGCCCAGGGGCUGGAGCAACUUGCUGCUGUCUCCAUUCAUGGUGAAGAAGGAAACUGAUCUCAGGGAGAUGCUUAUGAAAAAUUCCAGAAGUGACAGUGCUGUGGGAGCUGAGGGUCUCUGUCUCUCUCUCCUUCCAUCCUGCCUCCAACUUUCCCAAGGGGGCUCAGUCACUGAGGUACCUGUUCUUAAUUAGCACAGCUUCAGUGUUUCCCUAAACAAUCAGCCUGGGGAGAGCAGAAAAACUUUUAGUUGAUCCCAUUUUGACAAGUUAAGUUUCAUAACUUUUUAAGGUUUUUGUUUAAUCGGAAAAACCUAAAAUCUCACCAAUCAUAGACUUCUCAAUACCAAGGCUGCCUUCUCCAAAGGCCCCAAGUCUAGCUUUCCAGAAGAUGUCUCAAAUUCUAAGCACAUCAUUGCCUUUUCCCCUUUAUUCCAGGUUCUGAACAGGAUUCUCUUGUCUAUUCAGAGCCAAAAUCAGCCCCCACCACCCAGUAAGAAAUACCACAUUUACCUCUAAAAUGUGCGCCAGUAUCUAAAAAAGCCUGCUGUUGGUCUCAGUCAAAGCCUUAAACUUCAUGAAAAAUCCCCUAUAAAGCCUGAUUUCUCCUUCACUCAUUUUACAGGGGCUCUUGCUCCUAAUCUGUGGACUCUCCAGAACACGAUGGAAAAGUUCAACACCUACAUGCGACUCCACUCUCUGGUAUUGUCUCAGGUUUCCUCUCUUCUGAACACAUGUGCAUCUGAAUGCAUUCAAGCAAGAUUCUUUUGGCCAUUUAUGUAUGGCAUGUCUCUGAUUACCAGCUGGGCACUUCAAAGUGGGGAGAACAUAAGGACAGCCUAAUGUAGGCAGUUAUAUUUACAACCUGGAACAACUGACAAAAUGUAAAUUGGAAAUCUGCUUGGUGCUGGAGUGAGACAGGAAAUGUGAGACUUACAAAACAUUCAUCUGGAUUUUAGAUUUCAUUUUAUGUAUACCUGUUAAAUCUCAGAAUGUCAAAUGGUGGAGCAGGGUAUAAAAUGGGAAUAAUCUCCCUUCCAGUUCCUCAAAUUGCCCAAACCCAACCAGAUUGCCAUAUAAUCUCAGAGAUACUUUCUAAGCAGAUAUCUGCAUAGUGGUUUAAACGAUAAUGCUGUGAAAAUUCAUUUUACCCUCUUUCUCUCUCAUUUGACAAUAUAUGUAAGAUACCUUCCUUUAUCAACACAUAUAGUUGCAUAGUAAUACAUUAUAAGGUACUCGUUUCUUAUUAGUUUUCCCCUCUAUUGAUCAAUUUUGGUGUUUUUUUCCCUCUUACUAUGAAAAAUGAUGCUAUGAAUAUUCUUAGAUAUUCAUGUCAUUUCUAUUUCUGUUAUAAAUCCCCAGAGUUGGAAUUUUCUGCUUUUAAGGUAGACGUAUUGAUGCUAGUGCUUUUUAUUGGCAUCAAAUUAUACUCCAAAGAUUUUGGAUUCAUUCGCAUAGGUACUAUGACUGUAUAGUCAUGUGUCACUUAAUGAUGGAGGUAAAUUCUGUGAAAUGCAUCAGUAGGCAGUUUGAUCAUUGUAUGAACAUCAUAGAGCAUACUCACACAAACCUAGGUGGUAUAGGCUGUUACACGCCUAGGUCAUAUUGUAUAGUCUAUUGCUCCUAGACUACAAACCUAUACAGCAUGUUACUAUACUGAAUCCUAAAGGCAAUUGUGACACAAUGGUAAGUAUUCGUGUGUCUAAACCUAUCUAAACAUAGAAAUGGUACAGUAAGAAUACUGUACAAAAGAUAAAGAAUGAUAAGCCUGUAUAGAGCACUUACCAUGAAUGGAGCUUGCAGGACUGGAAGUUGCUCUGGGUAGGUCAGUGAGUGAGUGGUGAGUGACUGUGAAGGCCUGGGACAUUAUUGUACACUACUGCAGACUCUGUAAGCCCUGAAUCAGUGUGCAGUGUACAGUUAUACUGUAUAAGGCUACAUUAAUUUUACACAAAAACACUUUUCUUUCUUCGUUAAUAAAUUAACCUUAGCUUGCUGU